rnacentral:lncRNA from 1 species
GUGUGGCAUUUUCUUUCUCUGAAAUGAUAAGUGUCUUAAUACGUAACGUUUUUAAGUUUUUACUAAGUAUUAUAUUUUUUCAAAUUUUCGACAUUAAGACAUUAAUUAAUUAACUAGGUACCAAUUUUUGGGCAUUAUGAGGGUGCUAAUCCUUCCUCAUACGUAACCGACUCCCGGACCCAUUUUUCUAAAAUUCGGAGACCAAAGU